GCAAGUCGAACGGUAACAGCAGAGCUUGCUCUGGCUGACGAGUGGCGGCCGGGUGAUUAAUAUAUCUGAAUCUGCCUAGUAGUGGGGGACAACGUAUGUAAACGUACGCUCAUACCGCAUACGCCCUUCGGGGGAAAACGGGGGACCUUCGGGCCUCGUGCUAUUAGAUGAGCCUAUAUCCAAUUAGCUAGUUGGCGGGGUAAGAGCCCACCAAGGCGACGAUUGGUAGCUGGUUUGAGAGGAUGAGC
rnacentral:rRNA from 1 species